rnacentral:rRNA from 1 species
ACGGGGGGGGCAAGCGUUGUUCGGAAUUACUGGGCGUAAAGGGCUCGUAGGCGGCCAACUAAGUCAGACGUGAAAUCCCUCGGCUUAACCGGGGAACUGCGUCUGAUACUGGAUGGCUUGAGUGUAGGAGAGGGAUGCGGAAUUCCAGGUGUAGCGGUGAAAUGCGUAGAUAUCGGGAGGAACAUCAGCGGCGAAGGCGGCUACCUGGCCCAAUACUGACACUCAGGUGCGACAGCGUGGGGAGCAAACAGGA